GACGAACGCUGGCGGCGUGCUUAACACAUGCAAGUCGAACGGAAAGGCCCUGCUUUUGUGGGGUGCUCGAGUGGCGAACGGGUGUGUAACACGUGUGUAACCUGCCCUUGACUUUGGGAUAACUUCAGGAAACUGGGGCUAAUACCGGAUAGGAGCUCCUGCUGCAGGGUGGGGGUUGGAAAGUUUCGGCGGUUGGGGAUGGACUCGCGGCUUAUCAGCUUGUUGGUGGGGUAGUGGCUUACCAAGGCUUUGACGGGUAGCCGGCCUGAGAGGGUGACCGGCCACAUUGGGACUGAGAUACGGCCCAGACUCCUACGGGAGGCAGCAGUGGGGAAUAUUGCACAAUGGGCGGAAGCCUGAUGCAGCAACGCCGCGUGCGGGAUGACGGCCUUCGGGUUGUAAACCGCUUUCGCCUGUGACGAAGCGUGAGUGACGGUAAUGGGUAAAGAAGCACCGGCUAACUACGUG
rnacentral:rRNA from 1 species